CCAAUCCAGAACCCAGCUCCUCCUAGAUGCAAUGCAAAACCGAGAACAAGCGCCACAGGAAUGCCAACAAGAUAGAAUGCGCCCAGGUUAACAUAGGCACCUAAAUGCUGCCAUCCACAGCCUCUAGAAAUACCUGAUGGGAAAAAAAAUUGAACCAGACCUUAGUUCAAUUGUUUAUACAGUGCAACUGACAAUAGAUUAUUGUUCAUGGAGGGCAGAAGUAGAUACCUGAAAGGACUCCUUGGAGGUUGUCAGUAAGAACUGAAAUGGAAAGCAAUGGCACCAUUCUGGUGACAUAAUUUACAACCUCUUCCUCGUUGCUGAAAGCAAUUCCGAUGAAAUGGCGCAACGAUAGAAGAGUUACGCUCACCAGAAC
rnacentral:lncRNA from 1 species